UGGUCAAAAUCAAAAGCCGGGGUGAUUUAUCAUUAUCUGUGUGCGUUUGCGUUUUCUUUUCUAUAGUCGAUAAUCAGAAACAAAUGAAGCAUAUGUCUUGUAAUGCGAUCAGAAAAACACACACAUCGAUGUGUGGUGUAUGCGUUUGUGUGCGUGAUCAACAGAAAUCAAGUUGAACAGACAGAUAAAGAUGAGACGUGAGCCAAUAGGCAGCAACGAAAUCGCUGCUACUGCCGACGGCGUUGAUGGCCGGUGUUGUCCGAUGGUGUCUGAAAAAUGGUUCAAUCAACUCAAUUACGCUCUAAUCCUCCUCCUCUGUGACGUGACAGAAAUUAAAGAUAACGAGGCUCCACAACCACAUGGAUAACCGAAUAUUCUUAUUCCUUUCUUAUUGUAAUCAUACAAUUUGCGUUUAUUAAGGCCUCUGGAAUCUGGAAUGUUAUUAUUUUUCUUUUGCAAAAGACUAUGAGAAUGACUACAAACUGGAAUCAUGAUGAUGAUGCAUUAUCAAAUACUAAAAGGAUGAAGAUUUGUUAGAGUGAUGAUGUGAGACCUUUAUCAUAUCUUAACCAUGAUGUCCUUUCAUUAGUCAGGAUGCAACUGGGAGUUGUUGAUUUUCUUGCAUUCACUGUGUUUUGCAAGUUAUGGAGAUCAAACGUGUUCUCUAACAAGAAAAGGUUUAUGGCAUCCAAACCACCCAUGUUGAUAUGUAUCUCUCCAUGUGGCAAUAAUGAUAUGGAAUGUUGUCUAGAGGACUCUGAAGGAAGAAAGUUCAAAAUAUUACUUCCCCAUUCUACUUUUAGGUCCUUAAUUGGAUUAACUUGUGGUUACUUGAUUUUGUUCAGGUUGAAAACCAGAGAUUUAUUGGGUGCAGUUUGAAGAUACAAGAAAUGAAUAUGAACAUGCAUUCUUUCUUAGCCACUUCAAAUAUGGUGCUGUUGUUAAACCAGAGUCAUGGGGUGACCCUGGAUCACAACAUGGGAGUUUAAUAGAUGAGUCUUUGUAUAUGUUAAGAACCAGAAUUGGUGGAUUUGGGUUUUGCAAUUGACUUCUGCGAUGUUUGCUUUUAGACAUGUUCGUAAUUCGUCUGGUUUAAUUCAUAUCAAGUUUAUGGUUUUAUC